rnacentral:tRNA from 1 species
GCUCCCGUGGUGUAGUCCGGUCUGAAGAAGAUCCAUCAUAGGAUGGUUAUUCUUUGGGGAUAACCAAUCAUUUCGGAUUUUCGAUCCGAAGACCUGGGUUCAAAUCCCGGCGGGAGCA